rnacentral:lncRNA from 1 species
AGAUAUCACACUAGAAGAAAGGGUGUUAGAAAUAUUCUUCGACCAUUUUUAAGGAAAUCAAUUUGGUCUAUAAUAUGUUUCAGAGCAUAUGUACGUGCGAGGGUGUAAGAACUAUCAGUAAACCGUCUUUAGGUUAAGUUGAUUAGUGAAUAAUAAGGAGACUCUGAAUUGUAUCGUGAGAUAGGGUUUCUUAUUGAUCCCAUAUAAAGGGACAAAACUUCACUGCAGA